UACGUAGGGCGCGAGCGUUAAUCGGAAUUACUGGGCGUAAAGUGUGCGCAGGCGGCCGAGCAAGUCGAGUGUGAAAGCCCCGAGCUUAACUUGGGAACUGCGCUCGAAACUACUUGGCUAGAGUGUGGCAGAGGGAGGUGGAAUUCCACGUGUAGCGGUGAAAUGCGUAGAGAUGUGGAGGAACACCGAUGGCGAAGGCAGCCUCCUGGGCCAACACUGACGCUCAUGCACGAAAGCGUGGGGAGCAAACAGG
rnacentral:rRNA from 1 species